UUCAAUUCCUUCUGCUACAGAAAUUUCUCAUAUAACAAACUUCUAAAAUUUAUCAUAUAGAUUCAGCUCAUAUGCAAUAUCUCGAGGACUUAUUUUUUACUUCCGAAGUUAUAGCUUAUCUUCGCGUGACUACUUUUAUAACACAAUUGUAUUUCUGGGGACCAUAGUGACGUCAUUGUCUAAAGUACGUUCUACUCCCACUAUAUAGCAGGCACACCGGCGGUAACAGGUGCACGGUGGCGAUCGGUCUUCAGGUACAACAAUACUUCGCGCCAGUCGGUGCGCAAACGAGAAAGUGAAGAGCCGGUACUCGCGAUCCGACUGAUAGGAGCAUCUCGCGCAAGAUUAGCAAUCAUUCCGGUCCUUUGAUUCCUCCAGCGAGGUCCGAAAUCUAACGUCCGGUGCGAUUCCGAGUAAUCGUGUAUGUAGAGGGCAGUCGCUACGAUUCCCACUCGGCGCAGUCGACGCAGGAGCGCAGCAAGCUAUUGAAGCGCACGAGGAGUCUCGCAGUGAUAUCAGAGGACGAUUCUCGGCAAAAUCGGGAAGUGACAGAGCACUUUCGACUAGGUCAAUCGAGCUUCGAUCUGCCCAGGAAAUAUCAAUUGAUACCGAGAGCUAAGCUGAUCGAUCGGAAUUCUCUCAAGGACAGACUUUCCAAGAGUCAGCAGCAUCUUUCAGAUUCUUUCGAGAGAUUCAACGAGACAAAACCCUACCAUUCGCGAUCGACGUGCGGCCUUCACACAAUUCCACCGGGUCUCGCGUCUCUUCCAGAUCCAUUACCAUACGUUCGAGGAAAUCGUGAAAAUCCUAAUCGGCUAAAUAUCCUCGAUUGGCCGGAUCCUCCGAGACGGUACUGCAGCGUGCAGAAUUUAGAUACCGUAAGCGGAUUGAUCGACAUCGUCGAAGAUACCUGGCCCAUUGAAGGCAAUCGAAGUAUCGACUGUAUAUAUACGCAGGAGAGAACGAAUGAAAAGCACGCGUGCUUUCCUAUUCAGGUGAAGCGCAAACGUAAGGAACACAGGAGUUUAGACAGCAUUGCCUUCGAGGACGACGCGGAGUUGGAAUACUUCGACGUAUUGAAUUUACUGCCUCUUUCUAACAUACGGUUGGGAUACGACGAAGCUGUCUUGUCGAAAGACGAUAAUUUUACGAGAGAGACGAAACAGGUGCACGGUUCGCGGCACUUAAGAGUACUCGAACAUAACGAGCCGAGCAGCGUGAGCGAGGUUUCGCCGACGAGGAGCAGCAACGCCACGGACGAGGAGAAAUGUAAAGAGCACACGGUGAAAGAGGAUAAUCCCGCUUCAACCGAUAGUUCUGAGAAGAAGGUUCGCGAUCUCAAUUUGUCCAAGGGAACGGACUCGAGACGACGAGACUCGGUAAAA